rnacentral:rRNA from 1 species
GAUGAACGCUAGCGGGAGGCUUAACACAUGCAAGUCGAGGGGCAGCAUAAUGUAGCAAUACGUUGAUGGCGACCGGCGCACGGGUGAGUAACACGUAUGUAACCUACCCUGUACAGGGGGAUAGCCCGGAGAAAUUCGGAUUAAUACCCCAUAAAGAUAUUUGGAGGCAUCUUUGAAUAUUUAAAGCUUCGGCGGUACGGGAUGGGCAUGCGCAACAUUAGCUAGUUGGUAGGGUAACGGCCUACCAAGGCUACGAUGUUUAGGGGACCUGAGAGGGUGAUCCCCCACACUGGUACUGAGACACGGACCAGACUCCUACGGGAGGCUG